UGACAUUUGAGGAAAUCCGAUAAAAUUGGAUGAUAUAGAGAAGAUUAGUAUGGUCCCUGCGCAAAAGGAUGACAUGCACAAAUCAAGGCCGACAGCUUUAGUGU
rfam:Triticum aestivum genome assembly, contig: Triticum_aestivum_CS42_TGACv1_scaffold_330568_4BS